UGGGGAAUUUUGGACAAUGGGCGAAAGCCUGAUCCAGCAAUGCCGCGUGUGUGAAGAAGGCCUUCGGGUUAUAAAGCACUUUUGUCCGGAAAGAAAUGGCUCUGGUUAAUACCUGGGGUCGAUGACGGUACCGGAAGAAUAAGGACCGGCUAACUACGUGCCAGCAGCCGCGGUAAUACGUAGGGUCCAAGCGUUAAUCGGAAUUACUGGGCGUAAAGCGUGCGCAGGCGGUUGUGCAAGACCGAUGUGAAAUCCCGAGNUACUUGGAUUGCAUGUGACUGCACGGCUAGAGUGUGUCAGAGGGGGUAGAAUUCCACGUGUAGCAGUGAAAUGCGUAGAGAUGUGGAGGAAUACCGAUGGCGAAGGCAGCCCCUGGAGUAACACUGACGCUCAUGCACGAAAGCGUGGGGAGCAAACAGGAUUAGAUACCCUGGUAGUCCACGCCCUAAACGAUGUCAACUAGUUGUUGGGGAUUCAUUUCCUUAGUAACGUAGCUAACGCGUGAAGUUGACCGCCUGGGGAGUACGGUCGCAAGAUUAAAACUCAAAUGAAUUGACGGGGUCAUAGCUGUUUCC
rnacentral:rRNA from 1 species